CCGGUCUUGAGGGUCCAGCUUUCCUGCUCGAA
rnacentral:scRNA from 1 species